rnacentral:rRNA from 1 species
AACGAACGCUGGCGGCAUGCCUAACACAUGCAGGUCGAACGAGACCUUCGGGUCUAGUGGCGCACGGGUGCGUAACGCGUGGGAACCUGCCCUUAGGUUCGGAAUAACUCCCCGAAAGGGGUGCUAAUACCGGAUAAUGUCUUCGGACCAAAGAUUUAUCGCCUUUGGAUGGGCCCGCGUUGGAUUAGCUAGUUGGUAGGGUAAAAGCGUACCAAGGCGACGAUCCAUAGCUGGUCUGAGAGGAUGAUCAGCCACACUGGGACUGAGACACGGCCCAGACUCCUACGGGAGGCAGCAGUGGGGAAUAUUGGACAAUGGGCGAAAGCCUGAUCCAGCAAUGCCGCGUGAGUGAUGAAGGCCUUAGGGUUGUAAAGCUCUUUUACCCGGGAUGAUAAUGACAGUACCGGGAGAAUAAGCUCCGGCUAACUCCGUG